CAAUAGCGUAUAUUUAAGUUGUUGCAGUUAAAAAGCUCGUAGUUGGAUUUCGGGUGGGACGCAGCGGUCUCGCAUUGCGUUUGUACUGCUGCAGCCCUCCUUCUUGCCGGGGGCGGCCUCUCGGACUUCACUGUCUGGGGGUCAGAAUCGGCGAUGUUACUUUGAGUAAAUUAGAGUGUUCAAAGCAAGCUUACGCUCUGAAUAUAAUGGCAUGGGAUAACACGACAGGACUCUGGCCUAUCGUGUUGGUCUAUAGGACCAGAGUAAUGAUUAAGAGGGACAGUCGGGGGCAUUCGUAUUCCGUUGUCAGAGGUGAAAUUCUUGGAUUUACGGAAGACGAACAUCUGCGAAAGCAUUUGCCAAGGAUGUUUNCAUUGA
rnacentral:rRNA from 1 species